CCCACCCCCACGCCAAGUCACAGGCAGAAGAACCCGUCUCUCCUCCCUCCCCCCAGUCUGCCUGGCCAAGCCAGCCUGAUGCCAUCUCCAAGGCCGGGGUAUGGUAGGGACAGCCGAAGGGGAAUCUUUCCAGGGACCAGAUGGGAUUUUACAAGUGGCCACAAUCUGGCCUGGUUUCCUUGCAUUUGAGCAGACCACAGAGGCCGGCUGCAGAGGCUGGCCCCAGGGCCCCGGCUGGUACUCCCAGUGAUGGGGAGCAUGGGCUUAUUGGUCUGGGCCAGUGGAUUAGUCACGGAGAAGCAGGACAGAAACUUGAAAGAGACAAGGGCACCUAGCCCAGCCCCUGCCAGGGAGGGACAGACGCGCUGUGGGCCGGAAGUCAGGAGAUGUGGGCUUGUCUGGUCCCGGCGCUGCCCCCACCCGACGGGGUGACUUUGGGGAGGUCACUUCACUUGUCUGGGUCUCAGCUUCCUUAAACUAUAAAGAGAGGGAGCUGAACGCUUGGACCCCAAGGGCCUUCCCGCUGUGAUGUUCUAAGAUUCUGCAGCGUCGUCUGUUGUCCCGGGGCCUCAGCCAGGCUUGCUGACGCUCCAAGGACUCAGCUCUGUGCCCGUCCCUCUUGGACUGUGAGGGAGAGGGCCGGUGCACCUGCAGCCGGGCCAGUCUGGCAGCCUCCCCACAGGGUGUAGAGGGCAGUCUGCGGCUUUGUGACACUAGGACCGUGGGGCAGAAGACCCAGAUGGGGCCCCAGCACAGGAAGGAAGGCCACUCUUUGCUUCCCCUGCAAGGCACUCCCCACCAGUCCUCCCCGCAUCCCCUGCGCUAGGCUCAGGAUGGGAGAAGGGGGGGCAGAGGGCGGGCAGUCCCGGUCUCGGAGGUGACCUGUCAGCCCAGGCCCACUCACAAGGACUUUGAGCUCCCGAACUAAAAGACACUGGCAGGUGCAGCUAGACACAUGCACCCCUCCCCCACCGCGGCUCCCAUUUGGACCUCCAGCCCCCUCCGCCCUGCCAGCCCAAUGACACCCGGGCCAGACCUGAUCUGACAACUCUAUGCAAAUGUGCCCUGGCAGGGGACCCUGAGAAUGUUUUCUGGGAAGGACAAGGGCACCGUGAGCCCAAGUGGGGUUGGCCGUAGCAGGUAUGACAGCGGGAGCAGGAAGGGGAGUGGCAGGAAUGGUGGACAGUUUUGCUGAAAAACCGAAUUUCAAUCUGGCUUCCGCGGGAAGGGAAGGGCGGCGCGGGAGAGGAGGCAGGUGGCUGGCAAGGACUUAGUGCGGACAGGGGACACAGAGGGGAGGACGGGGGCGGACGGGGCCGGGACUGUCACAAAGCCAGAGGCCCGGGAGAUGGGGCCAGGUGCUGGGAACGGUGUGGGGGGCGGGGAGGGGUGGCAAAGGAAGCGGGCCCUCUGCCGCCGCCCGACCCUGUACCUGCUGCCCCCCAGCCGUCCCCCCGCCCGCAGAGCGGCGGGGAAAAGGAGAGAAGGAGGAAGGGAAGGGGAGGAAGAAGGAAGGAAGGAAGGCGCCGAGGUGCCCUUGGCUGAGGUGCUGAAAGAGAAGGAAACAAGACAGGAAAGGGAAACAAGAAAAUUCAAUUAGAAAGAGAGUCUGAAGGUCAGAGCGGCACAGGGCCUUCAUCACUAACGCAACACCUUUAUGCGAAGAAACCGAGGGUCGGUAAAGGAGAGACGUAUUCGGGGCAGGCCUGCCUCCCCACCGCGGACGCCCUGUCGGCAGGCCGCCCAAGCCCUGCCCAGCCCGCAGAGGCGGCAAGAGAGGAGAGGACGAGUCCUUACCCGGAAACCCUCCCUCUCCAAAAGGAGGGAGGGGAAGGGACAGCGAGGGGGAGGCUACAGAAAAGAAGGCCGGGAGGAUGGACAAAGCGGGACAGAGAGAAGGAGGCCCGGGGCGGUGCAGGCGGGGGGCAGGGAUCUGAGGCCACCUUCUGGCCAGGCCAUGAGCAUUUAGGUCAAGGGAAAGGAGUGAAAUCCUUGAGAAAUGGAAGGGAUUUCAGAAAGGAUUAGCCAGGCAGGGCCAGGAGGAGAGUGAGGUGGGGCAGCGUCUGAGGAAACUCCAGGCCUGGUCUCCCCCCCCACAGACCAGAUGGCCCAUCUGGCCGGGUCCCGCCACAGGCGUCCUGGGGGAGGUCUUCCAGAGGGGUCCAUGCACCAGCCUCACCUGCUACCCACCUGCCCGGCCCGGGGCCCAGCCCCACUCCCUCCAGCACACACGCAAGUGCGAGUUCUCAGCUCAAGGAAACCUUUUCUCAGUUAUCCCGUCAGGGAUGUGGCUUCCGUGUACGGUCUGGCAGCGGCCAGAAUGGGACCCCUGAGUCUCCCCUGCCGCAGGCUGCAAGGCCAGGAAGAAAUGCAGGCUGCUUCCCAGACCUUCUCGGGAUUGGUUUCCUGGCUCCUUUAGGAAUGGUCUCCAGAAUGAAUAGCAUCAACUCAGAAAUCCAGAAGACGGAGGCGGGCAGGAAAAAAGAAAAAGCCCAGGAGAUCUAGGUGUUAGACUUUAUCUCCUUCUGGGGCCGGGAACCCUUUGCCACAGAUGACCUCAAAGAUUUCUCUAGAACUUCCAGAUGGAGCUAACAGACUUUAUGAGCCAGACACGCGCCUAUCAAAUAAUCGGUCUGUAACAGUUCGAUCAAGGUGGACUGAAAUGGUUUGCGGGACCAAAGUUUAAAGGAAGAAAUUCUGAACAGAGCCCAGGGGCAGAGAAAAAGAACAGGUCAAAAACCGGGCUAGGACAGAAGGCAGAGAUAUAAGGAAAGCUUUUGUCUCCGGGCAAUUAAUCCUGAAACUCAACACGUCAGCGACGGGGCCCAAGCAUAGAAUCGUGUCAAUUUAGACCCACGGCUUGGUCUGUAGCAAUACUGUGUUUCAUUAGGGCUCCUUUUCCACAAGACUCGUAAACUCUUUGGGACAACAGACGUAAUCAUACAGGUGCAUUUUCCAAAGCGACGAGGGCAACAGUGCUUUGCGCACAGUAGGUGCUCAACAAAUGCUUGCUGUUUGACUAUUUGAAUUCAUUUAUGGAUAAAGCAACUGAACCCAGAGAAAGUCAGCUCCCUUCAAUAUUUAUCCACUCGUGCGAUAAAUACGCCGUUGGUGCCGAAUGCAGAGCAAACGCUGUCUGGGCGCCGGGCUGGUCCCGCCUCCCAGAGCUCAGUCUAGGAGACACAGCCAACGAUCCGGGCGGCACAGCACGACGAGUGCCAUGGUGUAGGAGCAACGGAGGAGAAAGUACCUUAGAUGAGUGAAAACGCUGCAUUUUUCCGUACGUCUGACUUCCAUACUGGUCUUCCCCUGGCCUGAGACCCGGAUCUUGCUGGCCUUUGCUAGUUCUGGCCUCCUCCACUCGUACAGGCUGGACGCUGGAGGCCUUGCUUGGCACACAGUAGAUAUUCAAUAAAUACACACUUACUGAUGAGAAGUGCAUUGAGGCCUGACGACAAGCAGGAUUUCAACAGCCAGAGAGCGGGAGGAGGGCAUUCCAGACAAAGGGAACAGCAUGAGCCAAGACAUGGAGACAUAAAGGACCAGUGAGCAGUUGGAAGUCACUGGAAACCAGGCGCAGAAAGAAAUUGGAACUAAGGUCAUAGCUCUUUAAAAAUUAAACGCUGUGGGGGCGCCUGCGUGGCUCAGUCGGUUGAGCAUCCAACUCUUGAUUUUGGCUCAGGUCGUGAUUCCGGGGUCGUGGGAUCGAGCCCCACGUCGGGCUAUG